rnacentral:rRNA from 1 species
GAUGAACGCUGGCGGCGUGCCUAAUACAUGCAAGUCGAGCGAACAGACGAGGAGCUUGCUCCUCUGACGUUAGCGGCGGACGGGUGAGUAACACGUGGAUAACCUACCUAUAAGACUGGGAUAACUUCGGGAAACCGGAGCUAAUACCGGAUAAUAUAUUGAACCGCAUGGUUCAAUAGUGAAAGACGGUUUUGCUGUCACUUAUAGAUGGAUCCGCGCCGCAUUAGCUAGUUGGUAAGGUAACGGCUUACCAAGGCAACGAUGCGUAGCCGACCUGAGAGGGUGAUCGGCCACACUGGAACUGAGACACGGUCCAGACACCUACGGGAGGCAGCAGUAGGGAAUCUUCCGCAAUGGGCGAAAGCCUGACGGAGCAACGCCGCGUGAGGGAUGAAGGUCUUCGGAUCGUAAAACUCUGUUAUUAGGGAAGAACAAAUGUGUAAGUAACUAUGCACGUCUUGACGGUACCUAAUCAGAAAGCCACGGCUAACUACGUG